CAGCAGCCGCGGUAAUACGAAGGGGGCUAGCGUUGCUCGGAAUCACUGGGCGUAAAGGGUGCGUAGGCGGGUCUUUAAGUCAGGGGUGAAAUCCUGGAGCUCAACUCCAGAACUGCCUUUGAUACUGAGGAUCUUGAGUUCGGGAGAGGUGAGUGGAACUGCGAGUGUAGAGGUGAAAUUCGUAGAUAUUCGCAAGAACACCAGUGGCGAAGGCGGCUCACUGGCCCGAUACUGACGCUGAGGCACGAAAGCGUGGGGAGCAAACAGGAUUAGAUACCCCAGUAGUCCCUGUCUCUUAUAC
rnacentral:rRNA from 1 species